GUCCACGCCCUAAACGAUGAGUGCUAGAUGUCGGUGGGUAACCAUCGGUGUCGUAGCUAACGCGUUAAGCACUCCGCCUGAGGAGUACGGUCGCAAGAUUAAAACUCAAAGGAAUUGACGGGGACCCGCACAAGCGGUGGAGCAUGUGGUUUAAUUCGAAGCAACGCGCAAAACCUUACCAGACCUUGACAUGGGUACUAUGAGCUUGGGAAUCUGAGCUCUUCACUUCGGGUGGGUACCACACAGGUGCUGCAUGGCUGUCGU
rnacentral:rRNA from 1 species